rnacentral:piRNA from 2 species
UUGAUCACAACCAGUUACAGAUUUC